rnacentral:rRNA from 1 species
UACGUAGGUGGCGAGCGUUGUCCGGAAUUACUGGGUGUAAAGGGCGCGUAGGCGGGUAUGCAAGUCAGAUGUGAAACCCCGAGGCUCAACCUUGGGCUUGCAUCUGAAACUGUAUAUCUUGAGUGUUGGAGAGGGAAGUGGAAUUCCUAGUGUAGCGGUGAAAUGCGUAGAGAUUAGGAGGAACACCAGUGGCGAAGGCGACUUCCUGGCCAAUAACUGACGCUGAGGCGCGAAAGCGUGGGGAGCAAACAGG